CCUACGGGAGGCAGCAGUGAGGAAUAUUGGUCAAUGGGCGCAAGCCUGAACCAGCCAUGCCGCGUGCAGGAAGACGGUCCUAUGGAUUGUAAACUGCUUUUAUACAGGAAGAAACACCUCCACGUGUGGAGGCUUGACGGUACUGUAGGAAUAAGGAUAGGCUAACUCCGUGCCAGCAAC
rnacentral:rRNA from 1 species